GGAACGGGAGCACGGUGGUAAGUGCAAUCGCCUUAUAAGCGAUAGGUUGAGGGUUCAAUCCCCUCCCGUUCUACCC
rnacentral:tRNA from 1 species